rnacentral:rRNA from 1 species
GACGAACGCUGGCGGCGUGCUUAACACAUGCAAGUCGAACGGAAAGGCCCCUUUGGGGGUACUCGAGUGGCGAACGGGUGAGUAACACGUGAGUAACCUGCCCUUGACUUCGGGAUAACUUCAGGAAACUGGGGUUAUUACCGGAUGGAAAUCCUUGCGGCUGGGGGGGGUUUGGAAAGCUUCGGCGGUUUUGGAUGGACUCGCGGCUUAUCAGCUUGUUGGUGGGGUAGUGGCUUACCAAGGCUUUGACGGGUAGCCGGCCUGAGAGGGCGACCGGCCACAUUGGGACUGAGAUACGGCCCAGACUCCUACGGGAGGCAGCAGUGGGGAAUAUUGCACAAUGGGCGGAAGCCUGAUGCAGCAACGCCGCGUGCGGGAUGACGGCCUUCGGGUUGUAAACCGCUUUCAGCAGGGGCGAAGCUUGUGGUGACGGUACCUGCAGAAGAAGCACCGGCUAACUACGUG